rnacentral:rRNA from 1 species
AUUGAACGCUGGCGGCAGGCCUAACACAUGCAAGUCGAGCGGAGCGGCGGACGGGUGAGUAAUGCCUAGGAAUCUGCCUGGUAGUGGGGGAUAACGUCCGGAAACGGGCGCUAAUACCGCAUACUAUCAGAUGAGCCUAGGUCGGAGUAGCUAGUUGGGGGGGUAACGGCCAACCAAGGCGACGAGCCGUAACUGGUCUGAGAGGAUGACCAGCCACACUGGAAAUGAGAAACGGUACAGAGUCCUACGGGAGGCAGCAGUGGGGAAUAUUGCACAAUGGGCGCAAGCCUGAUGCAGCCAUGCCGCGUGUAUGAAGAAGGCCUGCGGGUUGUAAAGUACUUUCAGCGGGGAGGCGUUACCCGCAGAAGAAGCACCGGCUAACUCCGUGCCAGCAGCCGCGGUAAUAC